UGGUGUAGGCCAGCAGCUAUAGCUCCAAUUGCACCCCUGGCCUGGGAACCUCCAUAUACUGCAGGUGCAGCCCUAAAAAGACAGGAAAAAAAGAACACCAAAAAAACUGGUCUCUUGGAAGAGAGCAAGCCCCCAAACCUGGAGGGGCACCCACAGAGGACAAACAGGAGUCAUGUCCCAGGCUGCCUGGCUGGAAGCCCAGAACCUUCAGUCUGGCAGGAAGAAGCAGGAGGUGCAGGCUGGAGGCGAGAAAAGAAGAGAGGUGGGGGACCUGAGCAGCUGGACCUCACGAGAACCAGAUAGGGCAGCGAGGGGUGGGGCCAGGCCAUCACUCAGGAGCCAAAGGCGUGGAGUAGAAGAGGGAGAGGUGGGGUGUGGGGGUGCCGUGGGGAGCAGGGGAGCUUCGCGGGAAGGCAAUGAGGUUACAAGCAAACUAUUCCCAGGGAGACCAGAAGAAAGGCACAGCUUAAAAAUAUACAGCUCUUGGAGUUCCCCUCGUGGCACGGUGGAAACGAAUCCGACUAGGAACCAUGAGGUUGCGGGUUCGAUCCCUGGCCUCGC